rnacentral:pre_miRNA from 1 species
UCUUAUGAUGAGCAACGAAAGUGAUUUCUUGAGAUGGAACCUGCUUCUGGUGAAGAUGCUGUGAA